UACAUAGGGUGGAAAAGUUCUUUGCAAUUUUCCCACGCUGUGUAAUUUGACUCAUAACACUCUGAUUGGUGGAUUAAGUAACCAAUCAGAGAGUUAUGAGUCAAAUUACACAGUGUGGGAAAAUGGCUUUUUCAAUUGGUAUA